rnacentral:rRNA from 1 species
GAUGAACGCUGGCGGCGUGCCUAAUACAUGCAAGUCGAGCGAACGGACGAGAAGCUUGCUUCUCUGAUGUUAGCGGCGGACGGGUGAGUAACACGUGGAUAACCUACCUAUAAGACUGGGAUAACUUCGGGUAACCGGAGCUAAUACCGGAUGAUAUUUUGAACCGCAUGGUUCAAAAGUGAAAGACGGUCUUGCUGUCACUUAUAGAUGGAUCCGCGCUGCAUUAGCUAGUUGGUAAGGUAAUGGCUUACCAAGGCAACGAUGCAUAGCCGACCUGAGAGGGUGAUCGGCCACACUGGAACUGAGACACGGUCCAGACUCCUACGGGAGGCAGCAGUAGGGAAUCUUCCGCAAUGGGCGAAAGCCUGACGGAGCAACGCCGCGUGAGUGAUGAAGGUCUUCGGAUCGUAAAACUCUGUUAUUAGGGAAGAACAUAUGUGUAAGUAACUGUGCACAUCUUGACGGUACCUAAUCAGAAAGCCACUGCUAACUACGUG